rnacentral:tRNA from 1 species
AUUUAUUUAGUAUAAAAAGUACCUUUGAUUUCCAAUCAAGUAGUCUAAACAUUAGAAUAAAUU